rnacentral:rRNA from 1 species
UACGGGGGGGGCAAGCGUUGUUCGGAAUUACUGGGCGUAAAGGGCUCGUAGGCGGCCAACUAAGUCAGACGUGAAAUCCCCAGGCUCAACCUGGGAACUGCGUCUGAUACUGGAUGGCUUGAAUCCGGGAGAGGGAUGCAGAAUUCCAGGUGUAGCGGUGAAAUGCGUAGAUAUUGGGAAGAACACCGGUGGCGAAGGCGGCGAGCUGGUCCAUUACUGACGCUGAGGCGCGACAGCGUGGGGAGCAAACAGG